rnacentral:Y_RNA from 1 species
GGCUGGUCCAAAGGUAGUAAAUUAUCUCAAUUGACUGUUCACAGUCAGUUACAGAUCAAACUCUUUAUUCUACUCUUUCCCACCUUCUCAGUAGUGCACUUGACUAGUCUAAA